GUGCUGCUGAUGGUGAUGAUGAUGAUGAGGCUACCGGUUCUGAAGCCGGUAGUGAGGAGGGUUAUGAGUCCGUGGAGGGCUAAGUUAUUUUUAUUUUUUAUUUUAUGUUUUAUUUCUACUGUAUUUCCAGAAUUCUGUAUUUUGAUUUUGGCUUUGUACUUUUGGGGUGUUUUGUCCCCCAUGAACAAAUUUAAAUUUUGAGUUAAUAUUAUUAUUUAUGUUUUAAAUUUUGUGUGUUUUAAUAAAUUUUUGGUUGGUUAAGUGGCAAACCUUCUAGAUUGGUUGCUCCUCAAAGAAGUAUCCAAUGAAGGUGCAUCCGAGCUUGGAUGGCAAUGAUAAGAAUAAACAAG
rnacentral:lncRNA from 1 species